rnacentral:sRNA from 1 species
GAUUCUGCCCUACGGGGAAGGAUGAGAAGCUUCGACCAAGGUUCGACUCGAGCGCCAGCGAGAGAACGUUGCCGCAGGCAACGGCCCGAAGGGCGAGGCGCUUUAGCGCCGAGUUAUCCUUCCCCCUCUAUUC